UCGGAAUACUGAGUAAAUUGGUCGAACAAAAUUUUACACUCUCUUUCAGGGCUUGCUUGUUUCCUUCAAGCAUUUGCUUCUUACCUGUCUCAUCCUCGCCGUAGUCAGGGUGUGAGAAUUCUUGCAGAUGUGAUUGUUAUGGGUUCUGGAAUAGUGGUAAGGGCCUUUGCUUGGGCAUGUCAUCAGGACUUGCAAAUGCCUCAAGAAUCAGUGCCGCCCAUGAAGCAAUACACAAUAUCAAUAAGCAAGCAAAAUAUCAGAGGCUAGGCAAAUUCUUGGUUCGCGGAGCAUUCAUCGUGGGAUGACAUGUUGCAGUUUUAUCUGAAGCGCAUUGCACUUGAAUUCUUCUCUUUAUCUAUAUUUUCGCCAGAGGUAUGUUUACUUAUGUAUGAGAGAGAUGCAAAGACUUGGAGUUUUCAUCUUCCACGUUCAUAGUGCCAAAGAGUCCUCAGAAACAAGUUGCCAGGGUAAAGCACAUGGUCCAAAUUAGUAAGUUAGAGUAUUAUUUUUGCUCUGCUUCUAGUAGAGGUUCUCCUGGCGUUUUAAGGAGUAUGUUUAGCAGAAGAGCAUUACUCCAGUCACCAGAUUUUUCCAGUAAAAGUUUCCGUAUGUAUCUAUUUUCAAUUUUGGAUGGUGGACGCUCUACUUCACUUUAAGUAGAAGCAAUUUAAUUAAUGAUUUGUGUAAUUUACCUUAGCUCUGGUUUUCUUUAGGCUCAAACCCCCCUUCAUUAUUGUUUCAUGUGCUUAUGGCGGUAAAA